CCCAGCUGACAGAGUUUAACGGCAGUAGAUAAUAGAAGCAAGUUACCGGAUUUCACGUAUAAUUUUGCUAAAGUAAUGCCAGUGAGGAGAAUCCGUGCAGCAAGAAGUAGUGAAGAAGAUAGCAGCAGUUUCUCCGGAUAGAAUUAUCCUCAGCCAAAAAAGGUAUUUUUGGCCAGUGAUAAAGCCGAUCGCUCUUUUUCCAUACAAACUUGUGGUCUGCGUAACGAGAAGGAAUAAUCUGAUUUCUACCUUCUUCUGUCAUAUUCCAUUAACUCUCUUUCCUCCCUACGAAAUCGACACACUCUAGGUUAGGAAUCCUUAACGCGACUUCUUUUCAAACACGAUUUCCUACACUCCGUACACGUUGACAGGUUAGGUUAUGCUCGCUCAGCAGGCAAUUCGACAGAUAGACAUCUCUUGAUUUUUACACGGUAAUCUCUACCCACCAUCACUGUUUCUACAUGCAUAGACACUCGUGAAUAAAACUACGAGAAGGGGACGGAAAAUUUGGUUAAUUUACAAGACUAUCAGUUUAAAUAGCUGGGCCCUUAACAUUGUCGGAUAUUGGCGUCGCGGUUAGGCAAUGCGUUGGUGAAUUUUGACUGUGAACACCUGGUGUCCAAAUAAUGGAUUUCGAGUGGACAAACGCUCUGACAAUUCAAAAGUUGGUAGACACAAUGUACUGUCACUUUCAACAAAGUUUAUGCUGAAAGUUCCACGAUUUACCUGCAUAAACAGAAGCGUGGCUGUUCCAAACGCCAUUGUGCUAAACGAUCGGGCCCAUCCUAUUUACUCCGUAUAAUUGUUCUCAUCUGUUUCCGACGGCUGACGUGAAGGACGCAAGCACCGAACAAACUGGAUAUUCAUCGUAUGCAGAUAUAUGCAUAUUUGAUAUAAAUACAAGCAGACUAAACUACGUCCACAUUGGCGCCGCGCAACCAACUUCAUUCUGUACAUUUGACCUGGAUAGACCAAGCAAAUAAAUUGGCGGCCACGAGUAAUAAAUUAAAAGUGAACGUAAGAAGAGCAUUCAUAAGCGAAAAUAAAAGAAAUGAGUAACGCUGACUCCAAUUUCCGGCGGACGACGACGUGCCUCGUAAUUCUCUUAAGCCUCGACUGUUACCACCCUCCUGAGAUGUCACAGGACGAAAGAAAACGAGCAUCCCUUAUACCUUACUGAGUUGCAGAUACCCUUUUCCUGAAAGCGUCCUCGAACAGAAGCUGCCCACCCACAUGUGUACUCCCGCUCACCUGCUACCUGAUUAUAUACUACCCAGCUGCCUACCAAGCUAAAGAAGAGCUACCCACCCAGAAGAAAGAUUCUUCCUGCCACAGCGACAGGAAGUCUCGCUGUCGCAAUCGGAAUUCAAUGCCGGGAUUGAUGGUUUAAUGGAG